GAUAUGAGCCAAGGUUAUGAACCCGGAGGACAUCAGCCCUCCUGAUAACGUCCUGCCGUGUUGCGCGUCCUUGGCCGAGCCGGGAGCGGCGCAAUGACCUCCGCUGAGGUUGUGCGGCCAUAACGAAGGCGGGAAUGGUUUUGCUCGUGUGGGGACAUGCUUCACACAGUUCAACCAAAGAGAAGUAGGAAGAAGCAGAGCUCAGACCACACAUACAUACACAAUAAAGACCUUCUUGUGGCGGAAGUGUCUUCUUGAGUGUCCCUGAAUGCAUCUCGCACUUGUCUUGUGACAAUGAGGAAGUGUCAUUCCGGGGCUGAACAGACUGGAGACGUGUUUGUAAAUCGGAGAUACAUAUAUGGUGUUGGAAUUACACUGCUGUUCAUGAGUUCAGACAAACGCUGUGGAUCCUGCACCGACCCCUCACACUCCAGCUGUCCUACCCAGUCAUUGAGGCGUGGACUGACAAAGCCUGCUCGGAUGAGACAUAAGAGGGAGAGCUGUUUUGCCUUUGCCAUCAAGAGAUCAUGACUGUGGGAAUACUUGACACUAAAUCACAGUCAGUCCACAUUUUUGCCAACAUUUUGCCUUUUAAAGGCUGCACGCUUCAACUUUUGAUGAACAGCUUAUUUUCACUUUAAUGUUUCUUUGCAAUAAAUUGCUUUGUUG